rnacentral:snRNA from 1 species
CAAUGUGAGGGCGAUCUGGCUGCGACAUCUGUCACCCCAUUGAUCGCCAGGGUUGAUUUGGCUGAUCUGCCUGGCUAGGCGGGUGUCCCCUUCCUCCCUCACAGCUCCAUGUGCGUCUCUCCCGAAGCUGCACGAUCCGUUGAAGAGGACGACCUUCCCCGAUAGAGGAGGACCGUUCUUCGGUCAAGGGUAUACAAGUAGCUGCGCUCCCCUGCUAGAACCUCCAAACAAGCUCUCAAGUUGCCAAAACAGGUGUUUAUUCCAUAACUAUAACCAG